AACAAAACGCCACCGGGCGUCAACACGCAUCGCUGAACUUCGUUAGGUCUUUGGAGGUUCAGGGGUGCGCUUUAUUUUU
rnacentral:ncRNA from 1 species